GAUGAACGCUGGCGGCGUGCCUAAUACAUGCAAGUCGAGCGAAUGACGAGGAGCUUGCUCCUCUGAUUUAGCGGCGGACGGGUGAGUAACACGUGGGUAACCUGCCUGUAAGACGGGGAUAACUCCGGGAAACCGGAGCUAAUACCGGAUGAUAACGAGACGCGCCUGCUUCUUUUUUGAAAGUCGGUUUCGGCUGACGCUUACAGAUGGUCCCGCGGCGCAUUAGCUAGUUGGUGAGGUAACGGCGCACCAAGGCGACGAUGCGUAGCCGACCUGAGAGGGUGAUCGGCCACACUGGGACUGAGACCCGGCCCAGACUCCUACGGGAGGCAGCAGUAGGGAAUCUUCGGCAAUGGACGAAAGUCUGACCGAGCAACGCCGCGUGAGCGAUGAAGGCCUUCGGGUCGUAAAGCUCUGUUGUCAGAGAAGAACAAGUACCGGAGUAACUGCCGGUACCUUGACGGUACUUGACCAGAAAGCCACGGCUAACUACGUGCCAGCAGCCGCCGUAA
rnacentral:rRNA from 1 species